GAUGAACGCUGGCGGCCUGCCUAAUACAUGCAAGUCGAACGAGAGGAAGGAAAGCUUGCUUUUCUGAAUCUAGUGGCGAACGGGUGAGUAACACGUAGGUAACCUGCCCAUGUGCCCGGGAUAACUUCUGGAAACGGAUGCUAAAACCGGAUAGGUAGCAGACAAGCAUUUGACUGCUAUUAAAGUGGCUAAGGCCAUGAACAUGGAUGGACCUGCGGUGCAUUAGCUAGUUGGUGAGGUAACGGCCCACCAAGGCGACGAUGCAUAGCCGGCCUGAGAGGGCGGACGGCCACAUUGGGACUGAGACACGGCCCAAACUCCUACGGGAGGCAGCAGUAGGGAAUUUUCGUCAAUGGGGGGAACCCUGAACGAGCAAUGCCGCGUGAGUGAAGAAGGUCUUCGGAUCGUAAAGCUCUGUUGUAAGAGAAAAACGACAUUCAUAGGGAAUGAUGAGUGAGUGAUGGUAUCUUACCAGAAAGUCA
rnacentral:rRNA from 1 species